UACGUAGGGGGCAAGCGUUGUCCGGAUUUAUUGGGCGUAAAGAGCUCGUAGGCGGUUCGGCAAGUCGGAUGUGAAAUCUCCACGCUUAACGUGGAGGGGCCAUUCGAAACUGCUGUGACUCGAGUCCGGUAGGGGAGUGUGGAAUUCCCGGUGUAGCGGUGAAAUGCGCAGAUAUCGGGAGGAACACCAGUAGCGAAGGCGGCACUCUGGGCCGGUACUGACGGCUGAGGAGCGGAAAGCGUGGGGAGCGAACAGGA
rnacentral:rRNA from 1 species